GCCUCUUUCAGCCAGGCGCGGUAGGCGGCGUCGCUGUGGUCGACGUCGAGGGUCACACCGGUCCGGGUCUGCUGGGGAGUGC
rnacentral:tRNA from 1 species